AGAUGAUGAUGGUGUAGUUGAUUAAAAGCAAUCAUAUAGUACUACAACCGACAAUAAAAGAAGACAUAUUAGAUCACUAUAGAGGUAUAAAAAACUAGUUGUAUAUGUUUUGUUAGUUACAAAGAUAAUUGAUUUGCAAGAACUAGGUAGCUAAGAUGUAGAUUAGUGGGUUAGUGUUGUGUGUGAUGAGCUUGAUGAUAGAUAUCACUUCAUUUGGAAAAUUGUAUCACGGGAUACUGAAGUUGUGUAGGAGUUUAC
rnacentral:lncRNA from 1 species